CUGGCCGUAAACGAUGAACACCAGAUGUUGGGGGAAUCGACCCCUCCGGUGUCGUAGCUAACGCGUUAAGUGUUCCGCCUGGGGAGUACGCACGCAAGUGUGAAACUCAAAGGAAUUGACGGGGGCCCGCACAAGCGGUGGAGUAUGUGGUUUAAUUCGAUGCAACGCGAAGAACCUUACCAAGGCUUGACAUCCUGCGAAUCUCCAAGAAAUUGGAGAGUGCCUUCGGGAACGCAGUGACAGGUGGUGCAUGGCUGUCGUCAGCUCGUGUCGUGAGAUGUUGGGUUAAGUCCCGCAACGAGCGCAACCCACGUUUUUAGUUGCCAGCAUUCAGUUGGGCACUCUAGAAAGACUGCCGGUGACAAACCGGAGGAAGGUGUGGACGACGUCAAAUCAUCAUGCCCCUUACGCCUUGGGCUACACACGUACUACAAUGCUGCGGACAAAGAGUAGCGAUCUUGCAAAAGUUAGCUAAUCUCGUAAACCGUGGCUCAGUUCAGAUCGUAGGCUGCAACUCGCCUACGUGAAGGAGGAAUCGCUAGUAAUCGCAGGUCAGCAUACUGCGGUGAAUACGUUCCCGGGCCUUGUACACACCGCCCGUCACACCAUGGAAGUUGGCCAUGCCCGAAGUCGUUACUCUAACCUUUUGGAAGAGGGCGCCGAAGGCAGGGCUAAUGACUGGGGUGAAGUCGUAACAAGGUAGCCGUAGCGGAAGCUGCGGCUGGAUCACCUCCUAA
rnacentral:rRNA from 1 species